rnacentral:rRNA from 1 species
UACGUAGGUGGCAAGCGUUGUCCGGAUUUACUGGGCGUAAAGAGCGCGCAGGCGGUCGUGCAAGUCGCGUGUGAAAGCCCCCGGCUCAACUGGGGAGGGUCACGCGAUACUGCUCGACUCGAAGGCAGGAGAGGGAAGUGGAAUUCCCGGUGUAGUGGUGAAAUGCGUAGAUAUCGGGAGGAACACCAGUGGCGAAGGCGGCUUUCUGGGCCCUACCUGACGCUGAGACGCGAAAGCGUGGGGAGCGAACCGG